rnacentral:lncRNA from 1 species
GGAGCUCGGAUUUUAAGGCAGCAGCUUGCCGAUGCUCCCAGCUGAAUAAAGCCCUUCUUUCUACAACUUGGUGUCUGAGAGGUUUUGUCUGUGGCUCGUCCUGCUACAUUUCUUGGUUCCCUGACCAGGAAUUGAGGUAACUGAGGGAAAGCUGAGGCAGCCCCUUAGGCGGCUUAGGCCUGCCCUGUGGAGCAUCCCUGCAGGGGACUCUGGCUAGCCUGAGUGACGCGAUCCAAAGAGCGCUCCUGGGUAGGAAAUUGCCUGGGUGGAACACCCUACCAGAGCAGCAUGUAGCAGGCCCCCGUGGAGGAUUAACACAGUGGCUCAACACCGGGAAGGAACUGGCUCUUGGAGUCCGGACAUCUGAAACUUGGACUGUGAAUGCAACCCAUGAAAAAGAGGGUUUUCGGAAGCUUGACAUUUAUGAGGGUGAGGAAUUAACAAGCCAACAUCAGUCUCCAGAGUGAAUCCAAGGAGAGGACCCAAGACAUUCAUGUUCUGUGAUGUGGUGACAUGUUACCUGUCAUCUCUGAUGCACAACUCCUAAAGUGUUUGCAUCUGGGGCAGUUGUACAGAUUGCAGAAGCUAAUACUCAAGAUGUUCUCCAAGGCCAACUACUCAUCAGUUUAUUCAUAGCUCCCAAGAUGGUGGCGGGCCACUUCCAAAAUGGUGGCAGGCCACUUCCAAGAUGGUGGCAAGCCUCGCGUUCUCUGGCCUGGGGUUCUUGGCCUCACGGAUUCCAAGGAAUGGAAUCUUGGGCCAUGCAUCAAAAGAAGAAGGAAGAAGAAAGGGGAUAUAAUGAGAAUGAGGAGCAUCAGAUAAUUAGGCAGCAGUCCAACAAUUAGGUUUUGUGGAACUUUUACUAUGUCAUCUAUUUAUUGGAAUUCCCCCUGGAUACCAGGACCCCCUCCAGCAGAGCUUAAAGUUAUAGUGACAGGAAGUACAAAUUCCGUA